UACGAAGGGGGCGAGCGUUGUUCGGAUUUACUGGGCGUAAAGGGCGCGUAGGCGGCGCCGCAAGUCGCGUGUGAAAGCCCCGGGCUCAACCUGGGAGGUGCGCGCGAGACUGUGGUGCUGGAGUUCGGGAGAGGGGGAUGGAAUUCCGCGUGUAGCAGUGAAAUGCGUAGAUAUGCGGAGGAACACCGAUGGCGAAGGCAGUCCCCUGGGCCUGUACUGACGCUCAUGCACGAAAGCGUGGGGAGCAAACAGG
rnacentral:rRNA from 1 species